GCAGUAGCUCAUGCCUGUAAUCCCAGCGAUUUGGGAGGCUGGGGCCAGGAGUUUAAGACCACCCUGUGUAACGUGGCCAAGACCCCUAUCUCUACAAAAAAAAAGUUUCCAGAUGUGGGAUUGGUAAAUGUCCCCUGGAUGGUAAAGUAAAAUCGUGCCCCAGUUGAGAACUAUUGUUUUUAAAAAAUCCAUCUCUUUUUUGUCUGUUUUUGUUUUUGUUUUUGUUUAUAGAGGAAAAAGGUUUAAUCGACUCACAGUUCAGCCUGGCUGGGGAGGCCCCAGGAAACUUACAAUUAUGGCAAAAGGUGAAGGAGGCCCGAGGAAACUUACAGUUGUGGCAAAAGGUGAAGCAAACAUCCUUCUUCACAUGGUGGCAGAAAGGAGAAGAAUGAGCAAAAUGGGGAAGAGCCCCUUAUAAAAUCAUCAGAUCUCGUGAGAACUCACUCACUAUCAUGAGAACAACAUGGAGGUAACUGCCCCUGUGAUUCAAUGACCUCCCACCGGGUCCCUUCCACAACAUGUAGGAAUUACGGGAACUACAAUUCAAGUAUUCUUCCUUGGAUGAAAGGACUAGGAGAAAGCCCUGCAACCCCACGAGUCCGCCCGUUUGUUGAAAUCAGUUCAAGAUCAUCCAGGCCUUCUGACCAAGAAUAUCCAGAGACAAGGUCGAAGAAUCUGAACUUUUAAAGGCCGCUUAGGAACAUCUGAUUAUCAGCAAGUCUUGGGAACCACUGAUAAUACAACGCGCACCCCCCCACUCAGUGCAGAAUGCUUCCCAACAAGGUCUCUAAAUGCUUCUUCCAAAGCAUGUUUGGGUUUGGAGAUUCAGCUCAAAUGCUCUGACACAGACUGUCCUAAACUGGUAUCAUCCCAGCCUGUGACAGAAAUUGAAAAACAAGUAAUACUUCGUGCUCUAAAAUCUUGAUUUCUGCUUAGUUGUGUCCUCAUCAAAUAGCUGCUUUCUAUUUUCCAUGGCCAAGUGCACAGAAGAAG
rnacentral:lncRNA from 1 species